GUCUUCCGCCUCAACUGUGGAGCCUCGCCGACCGUUAGUCCUCACAGCCACCUCAGGGGCAACCGACGCAGCGCCACCUCAUCGUGUCCGCCAUCUUGGGGCGACGGGCAGAAGUCCAGGACUAGGAGCCUCAGCCGGCGGACGCCAGGAAACAGGUCUAGGUUAAUAGCAGGUAAUUGUGACAAGUCCAGUGUGGGUUACUGGUCAUGACGAAUCCAUUGUUGAUGACAUCCUAGAAGAGAACACUAAGUCUUAGCUUUCAUCUUACCCCUGAACUUCCCUUCCUCUGAAGCACUCAUUAGGUGAAUAAACAAUAUUCCCUAUACCUAUAGAGUGGAAUACCACCCAGCAUCCUCUCACAUACAAAGAAAGAACAAAUUGCUGAUAGACACAGAUGUCCAUCAAUCUCAAAAGUCGUCAUGAAACCUCUGGAAGAAUUGAGCUGGUCGACUAUGCAAACAGUUGUCAAGAGCCUAUAAAAUAUGCAGCAUAAAAUUUUUCCUUUGUAGUCAAACCUGAUUAUUCCUCUUAGAUACUGGGAACAGAAUUUCACAGUUGUCAGAGAAUAUACCUUUUGUAUUUUCGUAUUAAAUAUGUACUCCUAUUACUUACAAUUGUAGUUUAACACCUUUUUUAGGUAAAAUUCUAAUUUUUCUCAUUCUGUUAAAAAUUUCCAGUUCCAACACGAAGAUAAU
rnacentral:lncRNA from 1 species